AGAGUUUGAUCCUGGCUCAGGAUGAACGCUAGCUGGAGGCUUAAUACAUGCAAGUCGAGCGGGAUUCACCAGCAAUGGUGAUGAGAGCGGCGCACGGGUGAGUAACGCGUACACGACCUACCUCUAACAGGGGGAUAGCCCUGGGAAACUGGGAUUAAUACCGCAUAUAAUUUUGAUUUUAAAAGUUCAAAAUGAAAGUUCAGGCGGUUAGAGAUGGGUGUGCGUCUGAUUAGCUAGUUGGUAAGGUAACGGCUUACCAAGGCGAUGAUCAGUAGGGGGCGUGAGAGCGUGGACCCCCACACGGGUACUGAGACACGGACCCGACUCCUACGGGAGGCAGCAGUAAGGAAUAUUGGUCAAUGGGCGAAAGCCUGAACCAGCCAUCCAGCGUGCAGGAAGAAGGCCCUAUGGGUUGUAAACUGCUUUUGUCAGGGAAGAAACCUUUGGAUUUACUCCGAAGCUGACGGUACCUGAAGAAUAAGCACCGGCUAACUCCGUGCCAGCAGCCGCGGUAAUACGGAGGGUGCGAGCGUUAUCCGGAAUUACUGGGUUUAAAGGGUGCGUAGGCGGCUUUGUAAGUCAGGAGUGAAAGUUUGCGGCUCAACCGUAAAAUUGCUUUUGAUACUGCAAGGCUAGAAUUAGGAUGAGGUCAGCGGAAUGUGGCAUGUAGCGGUGAAAUGCAUAGAUAUGCCAUAGAACA
rnacentral:rRNA from 1 species